rnacentral:ncRNA from 1 species
AAUAUUGAGCUUUGCAUAUCUCAAGGUGUAGACUUUUUGUGGUGAAACUACGAAUGGUUCACUAAAACAGUUUAACUCUAUUCAAUUGCCAUUUUUGCAUGGAUAAGCGCGGUAAUUCUACAGCUGAAAUGCACGGUUUCCUGUAGAGCCCUGGUGGUUUACUGUAAUCAAACGCUUCUUAGUGGCUGCUUUUUGGCGGGUCUUGAACCUGUUCAAGUUUCUGACCCAUCAGCUUUCGACGGUAUGCUAUUGGUCCACUGUGACAGUGACAGUGUGUAUUGUGUACAAAACCAACACACUUUUGUGGUGCCUUGGUUAUUCAUAGUGAUUGAAUAAAUCACAGUUGGUUCUUUUGGGUCGGCGGUGAAUCAUUAAAUUGUCUGGCCAACCAGCUUCUGACGGUAUUCUAGUGGCUUGCCGUGAUAUUGAGGGGAAACGGUGAGUAAGACUUCGAUUCGUGAGAGGAAGCCUGAGAAAGGUCUACCACAGCUAAGGAGCAUGGCAAGCGCAUGGAUUACCCAGUGAAAACAUUUCCGAGAUACUGA